rnacentral:rRNA from 1 species
GAUGAACGCUAGCUACAGGCUUAACACAUGCAAGUCGCGGGGCAGCAUGGGGGUUGCUUGCAACCCCUGAUGGCGACCGGCGCACGGGUGAGUAACGCGUAUCCAACCUGCCCUUCACCACGGGAUAACCCGGCGAAAGUCGGACUAAUACCGUAUGUUGUCCAUUGACGGCAUCCGAUUUGGACGAAAGGCUUGGCGGUGAGAGGGUGGGGAUGCGUCCGAUUAGCUUGACGGCGGGGUAACGGCCCACCGUGGCUACGAUCGGUAGGGGUUCUGAGAGGAAGGUCCCCCACACUGGAACUGAGACACGGUCCAGACUCCUACGGGAGGCAGCAGUGAGGAAUAUUGGUCAAUGGGCGUAAGCCUAAACCAGCCAAGUAGCGUGCAGGAUGACGGCCCUAUGGGUUGUAAACUGCUUUUAUGCGGGGAUAAAGUGGCCCACGUGUGGGCUUUUGCAGGUACCGCAUGAAUAAGGACCGGCUAAUUCCGUG